rnacentral:rRNA from 1 species
UGGGGAAUUUUGGACAAUGGGCGCAAGCCUGAUCCAGCCAUUCCGCGUGAGUGAAGAAGGCCUUCGGGUUGUAAAGCUCUUUCAGCAGGAACGAAACGGGUCGCGUUAAUACCGCGAUCUAAUGACGGUACCUGAAGAAGAAGCACCGGCUAACUACGUGCCAGCAGCCGCGGUAAUACGUAGGGUGCGAGCGUUAAUCGGAAUUACUGGGCGUAAAGCGUGCGCAGGCGGUUUGUUAAGACAGGUGUGAAAUCCCCGGGCUUAACCUGGGAAUUGCGCUUGUAACUGGCAAGCUAGAGUGUGUCAGAGGGAGGUAGAAUUCCACGUGUAGCAGUGAAAUGCGUAGAGAUGUGGAGGAAUACCGAUGGCGAAGGCAGCCUCCUGGGAUAACACUGACGCUCAUGCACGAAAGCGUGGGGAGCAAACAGG